GCUCAGGUGCCACCAUCCAGUUCGUGUCAAAAUAUCCAGGUCGUAAGAGGAGGAAAAAAAAAAAGGCUGAGACUGGCUCCAGAUAGAGGCUGAAUUACAGUAUGGAGGAACAGGUGUUCCUGAUCAGCCCUUUCAGUCUCAUUAUUUCAUUUCUCUACAGAUAACCUAAAUAUCAGUUACCUGAACUACUUUUCACAGGACUGUUGAGUGAAAAGCAGAUCUCACCUAACUGAUACUUAAACCUGUUGGACUUCCGUAAGAAAUGUUGUCCGUUGCUGUUGUACCUGAAGAGGUGACCAUUUGCUAAAAGUAUACACUAUUUCUUAGAAAUCCCAGUGUUACGGAGCUAUGCUGGAUUUUGGAGAUUUGUGCUCCUGAGUUGUUGGCUACUUCUGCAUAUCCCUCCCAUUGUCAAAGAAUGCAACAAAGUCCUGUCUAGAAAGCAAAUACUGCCAGUAAUCCAGCCUGUUGACAGGAAGAUCAGUAAGUGGGAAACACAUGAUGAAAUGUUAAGCUUAGUAAAACUUUGAAAUCAAGUGAGAAGAGUUUGUUUUGCUUUUUUUUCUUCCCUGUUGUAGGGGUUUUUUUGGAGGGGGAGUUGGUUUCUGUGUGUUGACAAAUCUUCUAAAAUUGAAAUUGUACAAGCAGAUUUGGUCAGUAAGGUUGUGAGGUAAGAGAUCAACUUUAUAAAAUACGUAACUCCAAAGCAGGAAUUCUGGGCACAUUUAAGGCAAAAGCUAUGAAAUACAAGCUCAGUGCAAGAAACUUACUGUGUGAGGUAUAUUUUUAUACUGGGUACUUUUUGAGGUGCAUUUCUUGGAGAGACUACUGUAAAAGAGGCAGUAGCAGUGUCUUUACCACUGUCAGCCUCUCAGGUAGGAUGUUUCUGUCCAAAGAACAAGCAAUGAGAUUUUUAGGAUUGUUCUGCUUUUUAAAUUAAACUACAGAGUUUAGGCUACAUAUUAUAAUUUGGGGAGUCUGAAUCCAUAUUAUUUAGGAAUUCUUUGUAUUACUACAUUGCUGGAAACUGCUGUAUAGUAGAAUCCAAGGUUUGUUCAGAAAGCUAAUUGAGUGGUUUAGAUCAAGGGCAGUAGCUAAAAGGGGAUGUUUUAGGGCCAAAGUAGGAAAAAAAGAGAUGGAAGACCUGAUAGCUAGCGCAAGCAUAUUUCUAACUAGGAGUUAUUUUUCUGAAUCUGGGACCGAAACAGCUAGUUUUUGGUUUUAUUCUUUGUACAGCAUAUUAUGAAAAUGUAGGAUUAAAAUUAGCUUUUUUAUAAUGUUAAAUCAGGGACUACUGGACCACAGUUGAGAGGAAAAAAAGCAGUCAGUAACUUAACACAGUAAUACAGCCUGCAGUGCUCCUUGCUACUUAACAAAAAACUAUUGCCCAGAACUAUGGGUUCCUAGGCUUAUUGUGGACAGGGCAUGCAAAUAAAAAUGUUUAUUACAAUUACUUAGUGGGUGCCCCUGCAUUCUGUUAGAAUUCAAGCAAGCUGCCCCCAAGUUCCUUCAUUUUGCCUUGUUCUUUAUUGACCCAGACACAGGAAAAACAAAGCCAACUGAAGUACACAAUAAAAACAUUAAUAAAAUCCUACCACACCUGGAUCCAAAGAAACUGUUGUUAAUUUCUUUUCCUCUUCUGGAUAGUAACACUUCAGUGCGUCACUGCCUCUGCUGUGAGGCUGGGAGAGACCAUGGGCAGGGCAGGACAGGGUUGAGCCGAGAGGCUUGGGUAGAGACACCUGCAGUGAGGAGAAUGGUGAUAGUAGCUGGUGUCCUAAUUGGGAUGUGUGGGGAUGUUUUUUGUGUUGAGUUGCAGUUUUUUUGUUCCCCCCC